rnacentral:tRNA from 1 species
AGGAAUUUAGGUUAAACAAACCAAGGGCCUUCAAAGUCCUAAACGGGUGACCAUCCCAAUUUCUG